AUUGAACGCUGGCGGCAGGCCUAACACAUGCAAGUCGAGCGGAUGAGGGAAGCUUGCUUCCCGAUUUAGCGGCGGACGGGUGAGUAAUGCCUAGGAAUCUGCCUAUUAGUGGGGGAUAACGUUCCGAAAGGAACGCUAAUACCGCAUACGUCCUACGGGAGAAAGUGGGGGAUCUUCGGACCUCACGCUAAUAGAUGAGCCUAGGUCGGAUUAGCUAGUUGGUGGGGUAACGGCUCACCAAGGCGACGAUCCGUAGCUGGUCUGAGAGGAUGAUCAGCCACACUGGAACUGAGACACGGUCCAGACUCCUACGGGGGGCAGCAGUGGGGAAUAUUGGACAAUGGGCGAAAGCCUGAUCCAGCCAUGCCGCGUGUGUGAAGAAGGUCUUCGGAUUGUAAAGCACUUUAAGUCGGGAGGAAGGGCUGUAGGUUAAUACCUUGCAGCCUUGACGUUACCGACAGAAUAAGCACCGGCUAACUUCGUGCCAGCAGCCGCGGUAAGAC
rnacentral:rRNA from 1 species